rnacentral:rRNA from 1 species
UCGCUUGCCAGGGAACUACGAGCCCCAGCUUAAAACCCAAAGGACUUGGCGGUGCUUUAGACCCCCCUAGAGGAGCCUGUUCUAGAACCGAUAACCCCCGUUAAACCUCACCCCCUCUUGUUCUCCCCGCCUAUAUACCGCCGUCGUCAGCUUACCCUCUGAAGGACUAAUAGUGAGCAUAAUUGGUACAACCUAAAACGUCAGGUCGAGGUGUAGCGUAUGAGGGGGGAAGAAAUGGGCUACAUUCACUGGCCCAGUGAAAACGAACGAUGCUUUGAAACACCUAUCCGAAGGAGGAUUUAGCAGUAAGAGGGCAAUAGAGUGCCCCUC